UCCUUGGUGGUCCAGUGGUUAGGACUCCGCAUUUUUACUGCUGGGGCCCAGGUUCCAUCCCUGGUUGGGGAA